UUUGAUAUGGACUGCGCUAUUUGUACUGAUGCAAUAGAAGACCCCAGGGCGUUACCUUGUGGACAUUCUUUUUGCGGUCCUCCGAAAACCUGUCUUCAGACAAUGGGAAAAAGUGCUGACUUAAUAACUUGCGCGCUCUGUGGAACUUCGCAUAAGUUGUUGAUCUCAAGUUUGAAUCCUUUGUAUGGUAUCAAAGACUGUUUGGCGAAUCAUCAAAAACUUCAGGAAGAGCUAGAGAAAACGAAAGCAGAGAACCGUUCGCUUCGAAAGCAAUUGCUGUUCAAGCCACCGAAGUGCACAAGAUCCAGUUUUUUCUGCGGCUCUGUCGCUUUCUGGUGUAACGAUUGCAAAGGUUCUUUCUGUGAUGAUUGUAUGAUAGUAUAUCACAAUCGUCAUUCGGUAUGCACGUUCAGGAGACAUUUACAGAACCUUGUUCGAGAGAAAAUUGAUGGCAAGAGCAAGUCUCAGUUGGAUGCUUUUGUUAUUACAGGUGAAGAGGUGACAAGUGCAUUGAGCUCACGAAUAGAACACCUCAAAGAUGAACUGAAUAGCUGUCAAUCAAAUCUACAGCAAGUCCAAGAAUCUGUUGAAGCUAACAAAACCAUAUCAAGCAUUUACGGUGAAAUUUCAAACUUUGCCAAAGGGACCGGAGAAUGCUCGUAUGCAGACAUUCAAUAUUUCCUGGCCUACUUUAUGACACCAAAAUUACCCAUAAUUGCCGCUAAUUUAGAAAGCACUGCACUGACAAGAGUCGUGAAACCGACGCUAACAAAGAGCGAAAUUAAGAAAGUCCCGUUAUCUGCAGAGCCGAUCACUUUCUCUGAGACUUUUGCGGGUGUUAAAAACAAGGCAAUGGGCGAGAGAAUUUAUUGGUCCGAUGAAAAAUCUUUUUGUGAUCAAAAAUUUUGGGUUGGUUACUCUCUAAAACUGUCCAAUAGUUCGAUAUCCGCUUCAAAGGCAAUUCAAGUGUAUAUACACAAGAAGCAUGCGGAAUCAGUGAAAUCGAAAAAUAUCUUCAAAAUAACAACGACGAUUGUUAAUCAUUCUUCUAAACCAAAGCUCAAUCAAAUUGCUGUAGUCGAAAUGCAGAAACAGUCUACGAUAGAAGUAGUCGAAGUAUUAUGGUCAUACCUGAUGGACAAAAGUCCGAACAAGAAAAAAGAAACCAACGAGUAUUUCAACCGGCACGACGAACUUGUUAUAUCCUGCAAAUUGGAACUGAUAAACUAAAUCUCCGCUGAAUUAGGUGAUAGUUUGAAUAUAUGUAUUCUUUGGAAAAAACUUAAUAUAUGUUUAUUUGGUCAGAUUGUCUUAGUUGCGAAGUGAUCGGCUCGACUCAUUUUGGCUACUCGAAAUUUGGCUCCUCUUUUUGCCACUUUUUCAAGCCUACUUUGGCUAGUUUUGGCUAUCCUAAAGUUUUCUUAAUUCACCGUUUACGUCAA